AAAAACAAAAAAAGGGAACCAUAUACUUUUAUUAUCCCUUUGCUAGCUAUACGUUUGCUAUCUUCCCAUCACUCUUUUCUGUACAAAAGCUAGCCUCAACUUUGAAGAGAAGAGGAAGAACGAGAUAAGGUGUAUAUAUGUACUCAGCUGAAGAAUCAAAGAAGAAUAGAUAGAUGAAGAUUAUAAGCUACUACGUUCUGUGGAGGAAAGCUCAUAUAUACUUAUAUCUACAUAUACAUAUAGUCAGUCUACUCGUCAUGCACCUGCAGCAGUUGAAGCUGCCAGCAUGAUCUGUUCUUACCUUCUAAUUAAUGGCAAGAACAGAUCAUGUGGGAGCUUCACCUGUUGAAUGGAAGCAUACAAACCCUAAAUGGAUUUUGUGAUUUACAACAAGGUUUUCAUUCAGUAUCACAUAACCCUAGAAAAGAAAGAAAGAGAGGGAAAGUUUAGAAAUAGAUGGUGGCAUAUGUUCAUGAUUCGAGUGACAGAAACGCGUGCGGUAUGUCCUCCUACCUUGGGGUUGGGGACAGUGGUUUUCAAUGAUUUUUAUCCUUGUCUCAUAGAUGCUUGUACUGACAAUUAAAGGCAUAGCAUUGUGCUUGGAGAGCUUUUCCGCACUUGUGGUAUCGCACCACUCAACUGUAAACUGGAUUAUUCGAGUAAUCGAUGAAUUGGUAUAGAAAUUAAAAAAAAAAAAAAAAAUUUAUUGUCUUUCUUUUCUACUGAGUUGAUUAUAUUAUGGAAAUCAUUAGUGCAGGAUGGUAUGAAAACUGCAUGUGUAUAAUUCACAUAUGAGCAGAGCAGACCAUCAAUUAAUUUAUUC